rnacentral:rRNA from 1 species
GACGAACGCUGGCGGCGUGCUUAACACAUGCAAGUCGAACGGUGAAGCGCCUUCCUUUUUGGUGGGUGUGGAUGAGUGGCGAACGGGUGAGUAACACGUGAGUAACCUGCCCCCUUCUUCUGGAUAACCGCAUGAAAGUGUGGCUAAUACGGGAUAUUCUGGGUCUGUCGCAUGAUGGGUCUGGGAAAGAUAUUGUUUCGGUGGGGGAUGGGCUCGCGGCCUAUCAGCUUGUUGGUGGGGUGAUGGCCUACCAAGGCGGUGACGGGUAGCCGGCCUGAGAGGGUGGACGGGCACACGGGGACUGAGACACGGCCCAGACUCCGACGGGAGGCAGCAGUGGGGAAUAUUGCACAAUGGGCGCAAGCCUGAUGCAGCGACGCCGCGUGAGGGAUGGAGGCCUGCGGGUUGUGAACCUCUUUCGCCAGUGAAGCAGGCCUGCCUCGUUUGUGGGUGGGUUGACGGUAGCUGGAGAAGAAGCGCCGGCUAACUACGUG